UACCAAAAUUACAAGGAAAAAAACAUUGAC
rnacentral:piRNA from 1 species